GCCUCUUUAGCUCAGUCGUAGAGCGUUGGUCUCGUAUAACUGACAAGACAACCAAAGGUCGGGAGUUCAACCCUCUCAAGAGGCA
rnacentral:tRNA from 1 species